UCCUCCUUCCUCCUCCUCCCAAUUCUGGAGGCUUCCAAGAGUUCUGACAACCAGGUCCCCACCUUGGGUUCUGUUCUCGUGUUGGUUUUACCGGACAGUGACCGAAUCCGAGGGGAAACUCCUACACUGGGGACUGCUCCAGAAAUCCUGCCUGGUCCUGCCCCUAGCACUGACAGUCUCCUCACUGCUCCCUGCAUCUCCCUCUCUGCCGGAGCUGUCCAGAAGGGGGAUUCUGGACCCAAAGGAGUCCGUGAAGAAGUGGGGGUGGGCACUAAAUCUGAAAAUAACACCCCCAGACUGUGGGGUAAGGGCCAAAAAAAGGAGAUACUGAAAAACUGUACAGGAGAAACACCACCUGAAUUUACCUCCUCCCUUCCCACCCCUAAAAGCCCAGUCACUAACUAAUAAAGCUAAGAAAAACCCCUUGAAAACUUUUCCAAGCCGGAAGCAAAGGCCCUCUCCCCAGCCUGGGGGGCUCGUGGGGAGCCGGCUGGAGUUUGCAGCCCCGAAAGGGCUCGCGGAGAGUGGGGUGGGGCGCGGGCGAGGGGUGCAGGGGCGGAGUACCUUCAAUGGACAGGAACUGGCAAAGAGUUUCAAAAUAGCCGAGUGCUCUCCCCCUCGCCCUCGGGGGUCCCGGGCACUAGGACCAGGGCUCCCCGAAGAGAGAGCAGCCCCUAAUUCGGGCCUAAAAGGAAACUUUCCGGGCCGCGGCUGCACCUGACUCCUCACCGCCCCUCCACCCCACCCCACGCCCGCCAGGCCGCCCGCCCCGCCCUGGCCAGGCCGCCCGGAGCGCGGAGGAGGGGGAUAAAUAAAUUCAAGUAUUACCGGAAUCCGGGGGGCGUCUCUAUUGCCAAAGACCCGGGGGGAAGGGGGGUCGGGCGCCCAUUCCCCACCCCUAGGCCCUGACGCCCCUGUCCCGGCAGCCCCGCGGGAAAGCCUCCGGGCUGGCGCGGGAUUCGGCUCGAGAGAGCUGCCGUCCCACCCGGAGGCCCCGGGAGACCCAAGGGGGCGCGCGGAGGCCCGGGGUGCGGGGGCAGGGCGCGGCCGCCGCGGGGCCUGCCGGCCCGAGGCCUAACUGGCGCCCCCCCGCCCGCCACUCUCCCCGACCCGGCCCGCGCAGGCCGCGCCGCUCUCCCCGCUCCGGCUCCGGCUGGACCCCUCUCCUCCCGCCGUCGCCGCCCGCGGGCGCCCCCGAGGCCCCCAGGCCCCCGGCCUCCACCACCCCGGCGCCGGCCCCACUCACCCUUUCAUUCUCCGCCCGGGGCCUGGCGUGGGCCGGCGAAUCCCCGGCCUCACAUCAGAGUGAGAGGCGCUGGCAAUGGACUAGGAAGCUCGGCCGCCGCUGCUACUGCUCCCCCCUGGGCUCCAGUGAGAGCCUUUCCCUGUCAAGCAAGAGGGGUGAGGAUCAUAUUUUUAUUUUGGAAACUAAAAAGUGCUCCCAGGGUCGGUGAUUAUUAAGGGGAAAUCCCUGAAUAUACUCUCCAGCCAAGAAGGCAGGGCUGCCGGGGCUGCACAAGAAGAGGCAGCAGCCUCCUACAGCACCACUACAGGCACUGCGAGGACAUAACACCAGAGAGCAGCUCCUCUGCCCUCCGAAACGACAACUUUCCUACCAUCUUGGAGGCAGAGGAAAGGGGGGCCAGGGGGAAAAGUGCACCCGCUCUCGAUAAAGUACAGGUUUUUACUUCUCAUCUCUGGAAAAAAGUCCACACCUGCUGUCUACACCGGCGCCCGAGGGAAAAAGCAGGGAAGAAACUGGGGGUGCCUGAGAAACCUUUUCAUUUGCUCCAGGGGGGAAAAUGUUUCUGCAUCUUCUGAUGGAAAGAAAUCUUUACAAGACACAGGUUUUCCGGUGAUUAUUGUUUUCUAUUUUCUAUUUAAUUUUUCCCAUGUUAAUAACAGCAAUAUUUUAUUUUUUCUCAGGCCAAUAAUGAUUUUUCUCUAUUACAGGUCUAAGUUCUGUGUCUGGUGGUCAGUCUAUAAAUUUAUACUUUCAGAGACUUUAUAGUCACUUCAUUUAUUUGUCUAUUUAUUUAUGUUAUUGUAUAUAUAAACAUGUUUCCAUAUAUUAUAUAUUAAAACGUGUUAUACUCGUAUAUUACUCUCAAAACUGAGAUUGCUGUAAGACAAUUGUAAAGGGGUAUCUUUUGUCUCCCUCUCUCAAAGCAAUGUAAAUAAAAACCUGUGGACUGUCCA